UGGGGAAUAUUGGACAAUGGGGGAAACCCUGAUCCAGCCAUGCCGCGUGUGUGAAGAAGGCCUUAUGGUUGUAAAGCACUUUAAGCGAGGAGGAGGCUACUGAGACUAAUACUCUUGGAUAGUGGACGUUACUCGCAGAAUAAGCACCGGCUAACUCUGUG
rnacentral:rRNA from 1 species